GUUUAUGCAUGCAAGUCGAACGAGAAAGGUUCCUUCGGGGACUGAGUACAGUGGCGGAAGGGUGAGUAAUGCCUAGAUAAUCUACCCUCGAGUUUGGAAUAACAACCGGAAACGGUUGCUAGUACCGGAUGAAGCCUGGUUGCCGCAUGACAAUCAGGUGAAAGGUGGGGACCUUCGGGCCUGCCGCUUGAGGAGGAGUCUAGGUCCUAUCAGCUUGUUGGUGAGGUAACGGCUCACCAAGGCUUUGACGGGUAGCCGGCCUGAGAGGGUGUCCGGCCACACUGGGACUGAGACACUGCCCAGACUCCUACGGGAGGCUGCAGUCGAGAAUCUUCGGCAAUGGACGAAAGUCUGACCGAGCGACGCCGCGUGGAGGAUGAAGGCCUUCGGGUUGUAAACUCCUGUCACACGUUAGGAAAUCCAUUGGUGUUAAUACCAUCAGUGGUUGACAAAAGCGUGAGAGGAAGUCAUGGCUAACUCUGUGCCAGCAGCCGCGGUAAU
rnacentral:rRNA from 1 species